UAACCUCAGCUCAGAAUACACCUCAGCUAAGAAUCGAACCUGGAUCUCCUGCUUACCGGGCAGACAUCUUAUCUCUUCGAGGCAUGUAUGAAUGUUAUAGAGGACACCUUGUAUAUUAUCAUAAAAAAUUAAUGAGAUUUAUUCCAUUUCACAUAAGUUUGCGACUUUCCACGUGAAACGAGGUUUACUUCACAUCUUCCCUUGCUUUUUACACAAAAUUAGAUGGAAUAAAACAAUUAUAGAUCUCGUUUCGUUUCGAAAGAAUGACAAGAUUCAUCGAUUACGGCUCCAGAGGACAAUCUCCUUGGUAGGGAAUUUGGGGGGCGAAGCCUCCUGAUGAAGAGUUCAAGGGGUGACCCCCUCCCCCCCUCUAUAACAUAUUAUGUAGACCUUCUAAAAUAUAAAAAAUAAGCGUCUCGUGCUCUGUUAGAGAUGCAAUAAAAUAAAUAUUCAAUAAUAAGUCACUUAAACACAAACC